rnacentral:rRNA from 1 species
CCUACGGGGGGCAGCAGUGGGGAAUAUUGCACAAUGGGGGAAACCCUGAUGCAGCGACGCCGCGUGAGUGAAGAAGUAUUUCGGUAUGUAAAGCUCUAUCAGCAGGGAAGAAAAUGACGGUACGUGAUUAAUAACCCCCGGCUAACUACGUGCCAGCAGCCGCGGUAAUACGUAGGGGGCAAGCGUUAUCCGGAUUUACUGGGGGUAAAGGGAGCGUAGGCGGCAGCACAAGUCUGGAGUGAAAUGCCGGGGCUCAACCGGGGAGCUGCUUUGGAAACUGUGCAGCUAGAGUGCAGGAGAGGAGAGUGGAAUUCCUAGUGUAGCGGUGAAAUGCGUAGAUAUUGGGAGGAACACCAGUGGCGAAGGCGACUUACUGGACUGUAACUGACGUUGAGGCUCGAAAGCGUGGGGAGCAAACAGGAUUAGAUACCCCAGUAGUC